ACACACACCAUUUUUCCAACCGCACUUCGUAACAGCGAGAAACUUUUCACACUUUGAAAAGAAAAGCAAUACACUGUAAAUGAGCUAACAUGCCACGGCGAGCUUUCCAGGACUCAUCGGGAGUGUGGACGCAUCAUCCAAAGAAGAGACAUCCUGGACUGUGGUCAUGUGAUGAUUUAAGCUCCAUCUAUAUCUCUGAUUUGCUGUGCCAAAUCUCAUCUCCCAUCUCUCUGAGCUCUUCAGACCAGGGUGUCACUGCAGGAGGUGCCAAGAUCCUCAAAGGAAGGUCAGCACUCUGUCAGGACUGAGUGCAAAGUCCACAGAAAAGAGGUUGAAAGCUGUUUUGGAGAACAUGCUGAAGAGUUCUGUCCACCCCCCUGUGCCAUGAUAUUAAAGAACUUGCUCUUCA